CUGCGAAAAGCUUGGGGGAGAAGCAAACAUUUAUUGAUCCCAAGAUUACCGAAUGGAGUAAUCCAGCUAGCAAGAUGCUAGCUAUCUAUUAUUUAAAUAAUAGAGGCGAUACCAGGGGAAGUGAACCAUCUAAGUACCCUGAGGAAAAGAAAUCAAAGAGAUUCCCUUAGUAGUGGCGAGCGAAAAGGGAGUAGCCCAAACUUUAAAUGUGUCAAGCUGCAGAGCGUUGCAUUUAUGGGGUUGUAGGACGUUUAGGCUUAGUCUGUAAUAAGCAAAAAAGUUACAAAAUAUUUAUAUAGAAGAAUAAUCUGGAAAGUUUAACCAAAGAAGGUGAUAGUCCUGUAAUUUAAAUGUAAAUAUCUUUUUAAAAUGUUCCUGAGUAGGACGAGGCACGAGAAACCUUGUUUGAAGCUGGGGAGACCACUCUCCAAGGCUAAAUACUAGAAAGCUACCGAUAGAGAAGAGUACCGUGAGGGAAAGGUGAAAAGAACCCCGGGAGGGGAGUGAAAUAGAACUGAAACCGUAGACUUACAAGCAGUCAAAGCCGUAAUUUAUUGCGGUGAUGGCGUGCCUUUUGCAUAAUGAACCUGCGAGUUAUCAUGUCUAGCAAGAUUAAAGCAUAGAAGUGCUGGAGUCGAAGCGAAAGCGAGUCUUAAAAGGGCGAUUUAGUUAGAUGUGGUAGACCCGAAGCCGAGUGAUCUAUUUAUGGCCAGGCUGAAGCUUGGGUAAAACCAAGUGGAGGGCCGAACUCUAGUCUGUUUAAAAAGGCAGGGAUGAGCUGUGAAUAGGAGUGAAAGGCUAAACAAACUCGGAGAUAGCUGGUUCUCCCCGAAAUGGAUUUAAGUUCAGCCUUAUUUUAGUUUAAUAGAGGUAGAGCACUAAUUGAGCUAGGGCCUGUCAAAGGGUACCAAACUCAGUUAAACUCCGAAUGCUAUUAAAUGAUGAAUAGGAGUGAGACUAUGGGCGAUAAGGUUCAUAGUCGAGAGGGAAACAACCCAGACCAACAGCUAAGGUCUCAAAAAUGUGUUAAGUGGAAAAGGAGGUUUAGGUACGUAAACAGCCAGGAGGUUGGCUUAGAAGCAGCCAUACCUUUAAAGAGUGCGUAAUAGCUCACUGGUCGAGUACUUAAGCGCCGAUAAUGUAACGGGGCUAAACACAUUACCGAAGCUUUGGAUCUUAACGAAAGUUAAGAUGGUAGGGGAGCGUUCUGUAAGCCAGAGAAGUUAAGCUGGAAAGUUUGAUGGAGGUAUCAGAAGUGAGAAUGCAGGUAUGAGUAACGAAAAAAUGGGUGAGAUUCCCAUUCGCCGAAAACCUAAGGUUUCCUGGGUAAAGGUCGUCUUCCCAGGGUUAGUCGGCCCCUAAGGCAAAGCUGAAAAGUGUAGUCGAUGGGAAACGGGUUAAUAUUCCCGUACCUCUUAUAGUUUCGAUGGAGUGACGCAUGAGGUUAACUACUGCUAGGCGAUGGUUGUCCUAGUUUAAGCAUUAAGGUGAUGAUCUUGAUAGGAAAAUCCGUUAAGAGAGCUAAGAUGUGAUGAUGAGUGCUAUUUAGGUAGCAUGAAAUGUAGGUAGUCAAGGUGCCAAGAAAUAGCUUCUAAGGUUAGGCUAUAAGGGACCGUACCGCAAACCGACACAGGUAGGUGGGAUGAAAAUUCUAAGGCGCGCGAGAGAAUCCACGUUAAGGAACUCUGCAAAAUACGUACGUAACUUCGGGAUAAGUACGACCUAAGCAAUUAGGUAGCAUAAAAAUGGUCCAAACGACUGUUUACCAAAAACACAGGUCUCUGCAAAUCUGUAAAGAGAAGUAUAGGGACUGACACCUGCCCGGUGCUGGAAGGUUAAGAGGAGAUGUUAGUUUAUGCGAAGCAUUGAAUUUAAGCCCCAGUAAACGGCGGCCGUAACUAUAACGGUCCUAAGGUAGCGAAAUUCCUUGUCGGGUAAGUUCCGACCCGCACGAAUGGUGUAACGAUUUGGACGCUGUCUCAACGUGGAGCUCGGUGAAAUUGAAGUAUCGGUGAAGAUGCCGAUUACUUGUGGUUAGACGGAAAGACCCCGUGAACCUUUACUAUAGCUUGGUAUUGAGAUUUGAUUAAAUAUGUGUAGGAUAGGUGGGAGACUUUGAAGCUAUCUCGUCAGGGGUAGUGGAGUCAAUCUUGAAAUACCACCCUUGUUUAAUUAGGUUUCUAACUUAUAG
rnacentral:rRNA from 1 species